AACGAACGCUGGCGGCAUGCCUAACACAUGCAAGUCGAACGAGACCUUCGGGUCUAGUGGCGCACGGGUGAGUAACGCGUGGGAACCUGCCCUUAGGGUCGGAAUAACUCCCCGACAGGGGUGCUAAUACCGGAUAAUGUCUUCGGACCAAAGAUUUAUCGACUUUGGAUGGGCCCGCGUGGGAUUAGCUAGUUGGUAAGGUAAAAGCCUACCAAGGCGACGAUCCAUAGCUGGUCUGAGAGGAUGAUCAGCCACACUGGGACUGAGACACGGCCCAGACUCCUACGGGAGGCAGCAGUGGGGAAUAUUGGACAAUGGGCGAAAGCCUGAUCCAGCAAUGCCGCGUGAGUGAUGAAGGCCUUAGGGUUGUAAAGCUCUGUUACCCGGGAUGAUAAGGACAGUACCGGGAGAAUAAGCUCCGGCUAACUCCGUG
rnacentral:rRNA from 1 species